AGAAAUCCUACAUAUGCAGUUAUUCUUUAGACCACAUUCGUUACUACUAUUUUGACACUGUUGAAUUUCACCCCAGUCCUGCAAUCGUGGAUUAGAGCAUUCAUUUUCUUAAUGGAAGAAUAAGGCCAUACCUAAACAUAUUAAAAUAUUAUUCACUUUGACAAUGGAACUAGUUCCAAGACAUGAACUAUUGCUAUAUUAGAAACAAGAAGCAAUCAGUAUUUUUCAUUGCCUAAGAAUCUCUAUACUACAAAAAAAUCCAUCACUUCUAAUGAAAUUGACACACAGAAAAUGAAGCCACAUGAACAUCUGAAAGAGAUUAAAAUGGAAUAAAAAGUCCUCAGUAGAAUUUUAAUGUAUUUUUAUAUUAGCAUCAAAGACCAAUAUUGUAUGGCUUCAGAUAUAUGCUUGCAACACAAUUAUUUUAAGAUACUUAUUAGAAAUCACACAGUGGUUUUAACUUACUAAGGUGCUGACAAGAGGCUGUUUUGUUUUAUGUGGUAUUGGCUAGAACUGCAUUCAUCUGGAGACUCAACUAUGUGGAACAUUUAAGGUGACUCCUACAAAACCGGCACCUGUCAGGAGCUCAGGGUCUUUCUUCUGGAGUGUCCCUGUGGUCUUUUAACCCACACCUCUCCUUUGGAUAGGCUUUCUCCCAGCUAUGCAGCUGGGUUCCAAGAAGGGUUACCCCUAACAGCAAAGAUAGAAACUACAGAUAUCUUACGAUGCAGUAGCAGAAGUUACACCAUGGCAUUUCCCCUGCAUUCUCUUGGGCCAAACCAGUCAUAGGGCCUAACCAGAGUCAAGGACAAAGAAAUAGGCACUUUGUCUCUCCAUGGGAAGGAGUGACAGAAUUUGAAAGAAAAUUUAAUCCACCGUAUUUAUUUCAAUUCUACUAGACUGUGAGCUCCAAUAACUUUGGAGCAAAAUAACUUUUAUUCAUGACUGUGGUAGAAAAAUAUCAUUACAUAAAAGACACUUAAUGAAUAUGUGUUGGAUUCUUUUAAUAUAUAAAACCAAUCUAAUGCAUUGGCAUUAAAAUUAUUGUUUAAUUUUUAGAGUUAUGAUGGUUCAGUCUCACAUCUAAGUACCACAUAAUCCUACAAUUUAUGUAAUGUGAUAUCUACACAAUAAAAUGCACAUAUACAAAGUUUAAGUUAUUUCAGACAGCCACAAACUAAACUGAAGUUUUAUCUUUGUAUUAUCAGUAUAAAUAGGCCUGUUAAUCAAGUUAAUUGAGUAAACAAGACUAGAGGAACACUGGUUAAUUUAAUCAAGAGAUAAAACUGUCCGUGAGACAAUAAAAAAUUUUGGAACCUUUCAGAAUAUUGUUAAUAUCCAAGUGUAAAAUAAAACUAACAGUAUUUUGGCUUAAACAAGUACAUAUAAAUUUAUAAGCGUUUUAAAAACAUGUUUUCAAAGAUUCCAAAUAAACUAAAAGUGAUUACUAUUUUUGAAAUUCAUAAAUUUUUAUACUUUUCCUUGCAAUUUGCAUAUCAGCAGUAAAGAAAUGGUUCUCUAGUUUGUGCAGUUAGGAAAGUCAUAUUCUAUAAUUGUUUAAUGCCUAACUUUUGAUGUAUGUGUUGGUAAAUAGCCCAGGGUUUAAGUAAACAUUUGCUAUUCAUCAUCUUAAGAAAUAAGACCAUUGAUUUAUAAAUGUAUUCAUAAAGCAGAGCUGCAAAAGUCAUGGGUGAGUAAUUUAAAAAGGUAUUUGUUCUCUCUUUAUUGAAUACCAUAUGCCAUACAUACCUAAUUCUCACAAUUGCAUAUUUCAAUUUUCAUGAAAAUAUAAACAAAGGGAUAAUGAAAUAUAAUUGAUCAUUAUAUGUACCAUUACUACUGCCUACAAUAAACUAUACUGUGCAAAAAGAGGCGAGCUUCUUCCAAGAAAUGAAGAGAUAAAUACAAUUCCUUUAUAAAAGCAAAAAUUACAAUUCCAUUUUUUAACAUUUCAUGCUGAUAAAUAUGCAAACAUUACUCCAUAAACUCCAACAUGUUGCUUCUAAAACUGCAAAUAAUGGCAACAGGUAAUUUUUUGCAGGAAAAACACUAUAAUUUACUUUAAUUUUGGUUUUUCCCCUGACACACUGGAAUUCAUAUAUAUAUGA